rnacentral:pre_miRNA from 1 species
UACAUACUCCCUCCGUCCCAAAAUUCUUGUCCUAGAUUUGUCUAAAUACGGAUGUAUCAAGUCAUGUUUUAGUAUUAGAUACAUCCGUAUCUAGACGAAUCUAAGACAAGAAUUUUGGGACGGAGGGAGUACAUU